UUUUGCCCCUACGGGCUUUCUAGUGUCUAGUUAAGUCUAGGGGUAUUUUAGUCUUUAGUCUAGAGAGUUGGAGGGGAUAAAAUAGAGAGUGGAGGGCAGCCAACGGUAUCCAUCCACGAGUUCCCGUCGCCCCUUAUCUCCUCCUCCGUUUUUGUUUUUUUAUCUCCUCUCUAGGGUUAGGAAAUCACCAUGGAUCAUUGAGUUCUUGUACUGAGAUUGGAAGGGAAUGGAGGCCUUAUCCUCCUGUGCCAUCCAGGGUGUUUGAUUCAUCUUUUUGUUGUGUUCCUUUUUAUUCCCGUGGUUUAGGAGUUGGCUCUAUUCUUGGUGCAGGAGCUUUGGGCGGCUUGAUUCUUGUGCAUGCGUGUGCAGGGAAUUAAGUGCAGCACAAGAAGCAGACGCCCCCUGUCCUCACCACAUGAGCAGUAGCAGCAGCGAGGAGCUAGGAGGGGCACUGGCGUUUUUGAUUUGGCGCCAGGCAGCAGCACAGGGAAGGCCAGCGGGGCGCAGCAGCUGCGGGGCAAGGGUGGUGCACGGCGCGCGCACGGCCUCACGAAGUGACGGGGCUAGCGGCAAGCGGUGCUGAAGGCUGGUCAGCAGCAAGCGGAGCGUGCUGCACGCGCUGCAGGGGGGCACGCAGGCUGCCGUGGCCAGGGGCGUUUGCGCUUGCCGGUGCAGGGCACCUAGUGGAGGAAAUGGUAAAAUUCAGCAGCUUUGUGGUUUCGUGUUUGUGUGAUUCUUGUGCAGGGAGACGAAUCGAGUGCGUGUGUGGGAAAUCCCAACUUUGAUCGUGUUCGUUCUUCAUCAGCACAACUCUGCCCGUAAGGUGUUCGAUGAAUUGCUUCACCAGUCUUUUCUUUUUUUGUUGAUUUUGCUAGAUUUUUCUUAGGUCCCUUUUGAGUAGCAAAUCAUGUUUUAGGGCUGCCUUCUAGUUUUAGUCGCUUAGCUCCUUCUCUAGAUUUAUUUUCCUGCUCUAGGUUUAAUUAUUUUUUUGCUUAAUUAAAACCUGAAAAAGCAAAACAAAAAUUAGUUUAGUUGUUCUUGUGUUAGCUAGAUUUCAUUCCAGUAUUUCUAGUUUUUGUUUUAUCUAUGCUCUAACCCCUUUGUUCGAGUUUCUGAGAUAUUUUGGCUUUCCGAACGCUUUGCUCCGAUCUUUGUUUGCGUGGUUGAACUUGUGAGAUUUUGUUCGGACUUUUCUCGAUCGAGCUUCUGAUUGUGUGUCAAGAGUAUUCCUAGUGCUGAUAGUCGUUCUGAGCUAUGCGGUACUGAUACUCUUCGUCCGAGGUGCGUUGGGUGUAAUCGGGACUUUUCUCUUCGGUUUUUCAAAUCGAAUUUGAGGCUCCCAUUCACCCCCCUCUGGUCGCCUAUCUGGUCCUUCAUACUUCAUGUUCAAUGAUUCCACCCUGAAUGAAGGAAAGGGUCUCAGACAACACAGGAAGGCCAAGUGCAGGAAACGGACAGGUUAGGGUGAUGGGGCACCUUAGCAAGACCGCGAUGAGGAAAGUGAGCACAGGAGCCAUGUUGGUGAAAGUUAUGGCGAAUGUAGCGGUCGUGUACUGCAGCCCAUAGAAGAAGGUGUAUUGAGAUAGAGCGGCACUGGACAGAACAAAUGAAAAGCAAUGAAUCGAAAAGAGAUAUUCACACAAGAAAGGAUUAGCCAAGUUGUCACACGUGUGACCAAGAUAUAUAUGAUUGUACCCAAAUGCAGCGCUGAAGAAGAGGUACACAAGGAUCUCCAUUGUCAGCUUAGGCCUUGUGCUCCGGAAAAGACAAAAUAGGCAAUCGGAGCAAGGAAGAUUGUGGCCACCAGUUGUCGCAGUGUGAUGAGUACUAGACGGUCGAGCCCCUCCUGCAGCGCCUUCUUGAUCAAGGCUAUUGUCACAGCAGAAAUGAGGUCAAAGACUAGCAUCGCAAUCACCGGUUUCCACUCAUUGAUGCACGCCAACCCCCACAUUGCUGCUUCAAGGAUGCUAAGCCUUUGGCCACAGCCUUCACCUGAAUUCCCAUAAUAAUGCUCCUGUAAUGAACUAUUUAUAGGUCUUACAUUUACUUGGUAGUGCUUCCGAUAAAAGUGACAUGACAGGAUAUGCGCAAUUACCCUUUACCCUAAAACAAAAGGUAAAGGUGCUGUUGAUAAAUGAUAACUCAAAACAUAUAUAUAUUCAACUGGAAAGGGCACAUAAGAGACACCCAGAAUCAAAUCAUCAUGUAAAUGUGAAAAGUGAAGAAUCCUUGAACAGUC